rnacentral:rRNA from 1 species
GACGAACGCUGGCGGCGUGCUUAACACAUGCAAGUCGAACGGAAAGGCCCUGCUUUUGUGGGGUGCUCGAGUCGCGAACGGGUGUGUAACACGUGAGUAACCUGCCCUUGACAUGGGGAUAACUUCAGGACACUUGCGCUAAUACCGGAUAGUAACUCCAGCUGCAUGGAUGGGGAUGGAAAGUUUCGGCGGUGUGGGAUGGGCUUGCGGCUCAUCAGCUUGUUGGUGGGGUAGUGGCUUACCAAGGCGUUGACGGGUAGCCGGCCUGAGAGGGUGACCGGCCAAAUUGGGACUGAGAUCAGGGCCCGUCUCCUACGGGAGGGCGGAGGGGGGAAAAAUGCGAAAAGGGAGGAAGCCUGAUGCAGAAACACUGUGUGCGGGAUAACGGCUUUCGGGGUGUAAACCGCUUUCGCCGGUGACGAAGCGUGAGUGACGGUAAUGGGUAAAGAAGCAACGGCUAACUACGUG